UGGGGAAUAUUGGACAAUGGAGGAAACUCUGAUCCAGCAAUUCUGUGUGUGUGAAGAAGGUUUUAGGACUGUAAAACACUUUUAGUAGGGAAGAAAAAAAUGACGGUACCUACAGAAGAAGCAACGGCUAAAUACGUGCCAGCAGCCGCGGUAAUACGUAUGUUGCGAGCGUUAUCCGGAAUUAUUGGGCUUAAAGGGCAUCUAGGCGGUAAGACAAGUUGAAGGUGAAAACCUGUGGCUCAACCAUAGGCUUGCCUACAAAACUGUUGAACUAGAGUACUGGAAAGGAGGGUGGAACUACGCGAGUAGAGAUGAAAAUCGUAGAUAUGUGUAGGAAUGCCGAUGAUGAAGAUAACUCACUGAACCGAAACUGACGCUGAAGUGCGAAAGCUAGGUGAGCAAACAGG
rnacentral:rRNA from 1 species